rnacentral:rRNA from 1 species
UACCUGCAGCUCGAGUGGUGGCCGCUAUUAUUGGGCCUAAAACGUCCGUAGCCGGUUUAAUAAAUGCCUGGGUAAACCGUGUAGCUUAACUAUACGAAUUCCGGGUAGACUGUUAGACUUGAGACCGGGAGAAGCUAGAGGUACUCCUGGGGUAGAGGUGAAAUUCUGUAAUCCUAGGGGGACCACCAGUGGCGAAGGCGUCUAGCUAGAACGGGUCUGACGGUGAGGGACGAAGCCCUGGGGCGCAAACCGGAUUAGAUACCCGGGUAGUCCAGGGUGUAAACGCUGCUUGCUUGAUGUUAGUUGGGCUCUGAGCCCAAUUAGUGUCGGAGAGAAGUUGUUAAGCAAGCUGCCUGGGAAGUACGGUCGCAAGACUGAAACUUAAAGAAAUUGGCGGGGGAGCACAGCAACGGGUGGAGCGUGCGGUUU